AGAAAUGGGAAAUCUUUCUCUCUGGAAUGAUCUCUUUUUGGAAUGAUCAGUCACUGGGGUCUUUUACUAUGCAUAAAAGGUCCUCAAGUGACAGAUCUUGGGACUGUCUUUACCCUCUGAAGACAAAUUAAAUGGUUAGAACAUCCAUUAAAAGUAAACUGAUGUCCGAAUUCCUAAGUAUCUCACCUUAACAGGAGUUUCUACAAAACAGCAAACAGAACUGAACCUGAAGUGGAGCAUGAUCCAUGUGUCUUAGAAAGUCAAGGACCUACUGGCUGUGUGCUUUCAAUGAUGGGUGCUCUAUCCCUCUUACCUGCACUUCUGGUACAGACACGAAAGGAACAAGAGGUCACUGAAAAAUUCGGCAGGGCUUCAAGAAGCAAUUUAUUGACAAAAGCAGCAGACGUUUCUCAGAGAGAUUUGAUGAAUUCUCAGCCUCAGUGCUCCCCUGGCAAGGUGAAGGUCAGACACCACCUUUAUAGAAACUUGUCAGGAGAAGGGGAGGAAAUGCUGGAUGAAAUCAUGUGCACUCAAGAUCAGCCAAAAUGUAACAAGCCUGUAAUGCCUCCUAGUGCUCCAGGAAGACCAUUUUGGUGAAGUGAUGCUUUAUCAAGUGGGCAAAGGAUCAAAUAAUUUCAAAGAAGUAAGAUUUUUAAUCCUCCUUUCCUGUUUCUCUUUCGCUCUGUGUAUGUGCUCUCUCUACCUGCCCUAAUUCAGUAUUUCAGGUGCUUUUACCAUUUGUGGGCAAGGCUGACUGUGAGACUAAAGGGAAAGUCUGGCUGUAACAAACCUGUCAGGUAUUUUAUUUGUCUUGCUCAUCCUCCCAUGUGACUCCCUAAAGCUCAACCUGGUGCUCCUUUCUUCAGCUGCCUUAGAACCUGUUGAAUUCCACUUUUAUUGCUGUCUGACCUUGGACAUAGGGUGCAGUUGAGGCAUAGUGAACACUGGGAAUAUGGACAUGAGGUAGCAUUAGACCUCAUCCUCUAGAUAAAGCAAGUGUUAGAUAUUUGGAUGCUAAUUAGUGAAGGAGGAAAAAUUUGAUAUUGGUGCAUGUGAAAUACAGAUGCAUUUAUCCAUAAGUGGAAUUUAUCUAAAAUUGUUUCAAGUUUGCUGCUUGUAAUGGUUUGUUUGCUUAUGGAAUUUGUUUUCUAGAGCUGGGCCCCUUUCUUUCCCAGCCUCUGAGCUGUGUUCAGCAUCUUGAAGAGCCAGAGCGUGUAAGCUCUUUGUGGAAAACAGCUUUUCUCACCAAUAAUUAGUCCUCUAUCCUUUUUUUCCCAUGAAUAUCUGUAACUUCAUUCAGUCAUCCAGUGGAGAGAUUUGUUGCUCAUCACCAGAGCAGCAAGCUCCUUCUCAGGGUUAUCUAUGACACAGCUUAGCAUAUUUUAUAUAUGACAGUCCUUAAAAAAUGUUAAUAAUGUUGGAGUGGCUGUACUGUUGGAACAAUCUCAAAUGCAUAUGCUGACACUGAUCUCUUUUGCUUCUAUCUUGACCAGUCGUUUUCGUGUGUGAAUACUUAUAUUAUGCUAAUCCAUGCCUUGUUAAUAUAUUUAGUAUCUAUUAACAUAAGCAAGGUUGUUGAAUGACGUAAUUUAAGUGCUAGGCACAGCUAUUUUACCUGUGACAGGAGGGCAUGAAAAAUAAUCGUAAUAAAUGUUUAUAAUCAAGAAACAAAGGGGAAAUUGCUUUUGAAUAGCUCUAUAACAACUAGAACACAAGUCUCAAUGUUUUAGAUUUACAUUGCAUCUGAAGAAAAGUACAAAGAUCAGUGUUCACAGAGCCAUUGUGCUGUCUACUCUCUUAUACGGAUCUGAAUCAUGGGUCAUCUACCGCCACCACCUGCAUCUCCUAGAACGCUUCCAUCAACGCUGCCUCCGCACAAUCCUGAACAUCCA